rnacentral:lncRNA from 1 species
CGAGGCUCCCACCUGCUCUAAGCGCUUGGUACCAGGGAGGGAAUGGGAGGACGCUUGCGGGAUAGGGAGGCGGGGGCUGGAAAUUGGCAGGGUGAGAGCUGGGGAAACUAGUCUGGGACGCAGCCCUCCUUGUCCCCCUUCUUCAUUCACCCCCUUGUUGAGGCCCUUGGCUUUUGCAUAAUUAUGGAAGCUCCAAAAGGAAAGAUACCAGAUUGAUCUUGAUCACCUCUGCCUCCCCAGCACCUAGUCUUCCUUGGCACAUCGUGAGUGCUCGGGUCAGGCUGUGCCACAUCCACCCAGCCUUGCCUGGGGUCAUUUAUCCUACAUGUACUCAGAUCACGUGAACUGGUGAUGGGCCACCCAUGUGCCUGCCUGGAGACUCCUAUUCACCCUUCAGAUCAAUAUCCCCCAAAUAAACUCCCAGUCACUCUGGCAAAAAAAAAAAAAAAAAAAAAAAAA